GAUGAACGCUGGCGGCGUGCCUAAUACAUGCAAGUCGAGCGAACGGACGAGAAGCUUGCUUCUCUGAUGUUAGCGGCGGACGGGUGAGUAACACGUGGAUAACCUACCUAUAAGACUGGGAUAACUUCGGGAAACCGGAGCUAAUACCGGAUAAUAUUUUGAACCGCAUGGCUCAAAAGUAAAAGACGGUCUUGCUGUCACUUAUAGAUGGAUCCGCGCUGCAUUAGCUAGUUGGUAAGGUAACGGCUUACCAAGGCAACGAUGCAUAGCCGACCUGAGAGGGUGAUCGGCCACACUGGAACUGAGACACGGUCCAGACUCCUACGGGAGGCAGCAGUAGGGAAUCUUCCGCAAUGGGCGAAAGCCUGACGGAGCAACGCCGCGUGAGUGAUGAAGGUCUUCGGAUCGUAAAACUCUGUUAUUAGGGAAGAAUAUAUGUGUAAGUAACUGUGCACAUCUUGACGGUACCUAAUCAGAAAGCCACGGCUAACUACGUGCCAGCAGCCGCGGUAAUACGUAGGUGGCAAGCGUUAUCCGGAAUUAUUGGGCGUAAAGCGCGCGUAGGCGGUUUUUUAAGUCUGAUGUGAAAGCCCACGGCUCAACCGUGGAGGGUCAUUGGAAACUGGAAAACUUGAGUGCAGAAGAGGAAAGUGGAAUUCCAUGUGUAGCGGUGAAAUGCGCAGAGAUAUGGAGGAACACCAGUGGCGAAGGCGACUUUCUGGUCUGUAACUGACGCUGAUGUGCGAAAGCGUGGGGAUCAAACAGGAUUAGAUACCCUGGUAGUCCACGCCGUAAACGAUGAGUGCUAAGUGUUAGGGGGUUUCCGCCCCUUAGUGCUGCAGCUAACGCAUUAAGCACUCCGCCUGGGGAGUACGACCGCAAGGUUGAAACUCAAAGGAAUUGACGGGGACCCGCACAAGCGGUGGAGCAUGUGGUUUAAUUCGAAGCAACGCGAAGAACCUUACCAAAUCUUGACAUCCUUUGACAACUCUAGAGAUAGAGCCUUCCCCUUCGGGGGACAAAGUGACAGGUGGUGCAUGGUUGUCGUCAGCUCGUGUCGUGAGAUGUUGGGUUAAGUCCCGCAACGAGCGCAACCCUUAAGCUUAGUUGCCAUCAUUAAGUUGGGCACUCUAAGUUGACUGCCGGUGACAAACCGGAGGAAGGUGGGGAUGACGUCAAAUCAUCAUGCCCCUUAUGAUUUGGGCUACACACGUGCUACAAUGGACAAUACAAAGGGCAGCGAAACCGCGAGGUCAAGCAAAUCCCAUAAAGUUGUUCUCAGUUCGGAUUGUAGUCUGCAACUCGACUGCAUGAAGCUGGAAUCGCUAGUAAUCGUAGAUCAGCAUGCUACGGUGAAUACGUUCCCGGGUCU
rnacentral:rRNA from 1 species